AUCAUACUCCCUCCGUCCGGAAAUACUCGUCGAAGAAAUGGAUGUAUCUAGACAUAUUUUAAUUCUAGAUACAUUCAUUUUUAUCCAUUUCUCCGACAAGUAUUUCUGGACGGAGGGAGUAUCAU
rnacentral:pre_miRNA from 1 species